rnacentral:rRNA from 1 species
ACCGUACUCCUACGGGAGGCAGCAGUGGGGAAUAUUGCACAAUGGGCGCAAGCCUGAUGCAGCGACGCCGCGUGAGGGAUGACGGCCUUCGGGUUGUAAACCUCUGUUAGCAGGGAAGAAGAGAGAUUGACGGUACCUGCAGAGAAAGCGCCGGCUAACUACGUGCCAGCAGCCGCGGUAAUACGUAGGGCGCGAGCGUUGUCCGGAAUUAUUGGGCGUAAAGAGCUUGUUGGCGGUUUGUCGCGUCUGCUGUGAAAGGCCGGAGCUUAACUCCGUGUAUUGCAGUGGGUACGGGCAGACUAGAGUGCAGUAGGGGAGACUGGAAUUCCUGGUGUAGCGGUGGAAUGCGCAGAUAUCAGGAGGAACACCGGUGGCGAAGGCAGGUCUCUGGGCUGUAACUGACGCUGGGAAGCGAAAGCAUGGGGAGCGAACAGGAUUAGAAACCCGUGUAGUCCUUGAC